rnacentral:rRNA from 1 species
CAGCACCUCAAGUGGUCAGGAUGAUUAUUGGGCCUAAAGCAUCCGUAGCCGGCGCUGUAAGUUUUCGGUUAAAUCUGUACGCACAACGUACAGGCUGCCGGGAAUACUGCAGCGCUAGGGAGUGGGAGAGGUAGACGGUACUCGGUAGGAAGGGGUAAAAUCCUUUGAUCUAUUGAUGACCACCUGUGGCGAAGGCGGUCUACCAGAACACGUCCGACGGUGAGGGAUGAAAGCUGGGGGAGCAAACCGGAUUAGAUACCCGCGUAGUCC